AUUAAACAGGAGGAUUAAAUGAUCGGCUGCCCCUUUGGUGAAAAAUUUAUAAUUGUGAUGUCUUGCUUUAUAUGCUUCUUAAGUAUAGAGUCAUAAUAUACCGGUACCUAACUUUUACAGAUUAAGUGAUAUACUUGUGUAUUUUAUCAUUUGUGAUAGCCAUUUAAAAGGAUGUGAUGCUACAAAAAAUGGAGCCUAAGUUUCUCCUCUUACAAAUAGUUAUAUUUUUUAUCUUCAUUAAUUGCAUUUCUUUGCAGAGACAAAAAAG